rnacentral:lncRNA from 1 species
GCAAGUUUCACUUAGAUAUGUUUGGAUAUCAGAUACCUCUUUAGCAGGGUGUGGUGGGAAACUUUGUGAGAAUGCCUCUCUUCCUUGAAGCCAGCACAGUCUUUAUGCCUCUUUCAUUUCCCAAGAGAUCAUCAACCUCAGAGAAGUUGUAUGUAGAUGCUCUGACUGUGCUCUGCACAAAGGCACCACUGUCAAAGGGAUACCUUUUCUUUUAUUUUCAAUAAAAUUAAAUCACUUUACCAAAUCUCCAGCUCCUUAAGGAACUAAUGGACAAAAUCUGAUGGGAACAUUUCCACCUUCUAAGAUUAUGCUGGGAGAUGUUCUUAGGGUUAUUCUUUGCCCUUGAACUCCUGGGCCCUAAUAGUGGCCUAGCCCACCUUGGUCUCAGCCCAUUCAGCCCUGGGCACAGCCUUCACGUUUAUUUUCUACAGGUGAUGCCACAAUGUGCAUGGUGUGCAAGCUUUUUAAGAGAGGCCAGUUUAAUAGGCAAGGGCAACUGCACUGUGAACCAUGGCUCUGGAUGCAGAACCAGGGAUUUCUUCAUUUUUGCUGAGACAGGUGGGUGGUUCUAUAAUCACACGGAAUUGAACUGCUUAAAUACAUGUGCGCCUUCACAUAUGUAUCUUAUGACCUGAAGGUUUCAACCUUUUGCUGUAAAGAUCAAGACUUCUGUAAUAGAAAUAAAGGACAAUUAAUGACCACGAAGACUGACUGACCAUCACUUCCUUGGCAGUGGUGGUUUGCCCUUCACCUCUUUCUGUGCCAGUAUCUCUGGUGUGCUCCCCCUCCCCACGUGCUCCUGCUGAGCCUGCAGGAUCCUGGAGUGCCCUCCAAGUAUCCCUCCUCACUUCUCUCCAGGCUACUGGCUCCAUCCUUCUGACGCCAAAUACUCUCAGUUCACCCUGUGAUAUUGUUGCGAUGUUUGUCCCCUCUAAAUCUCAUGUUGAAAUGUGAUCCCCAAUAUUGGAGGUGAGGUCUGAUGAAAGGUGUUUUGGUCAUGGGAGCAGAUUUCUCAUGAAUGGCUUGAUGCCCUCCUCAUGGGAAUGAGUGAGUUCUCACUGUAUUAGUUGACAUGAGAGCUGUGGUUUAAAAGAGCCUGGCACCUCCUCUCCUCUCUCUUGCUUUGUUUCUUACCAUGUGGCACCCCUGCUCCCCCUUUGCCUUCUGCCAUGAAUAAAAGCUUUCUGAGGCCUCACCAGAAGCCAAGCAGAUGCUGCUUCCAUGUUUGUGCAGCCAGUAUAGCCAUGAGCCAAAA